CCUACGGGUGGCAGCAGUGGGGAAUAUUGCACAAUGGGGGAAACCCUGAUGCAGCGACGCCGCGUGAGUGAAGAAGUAUUUCGGUAUGUAAAGCUCUAUCAGCAGGGAAGAAAAAAGACGGUAUCUGACUAAGAAGCCCCGGCUAACUACGCUCCAGCAGCCGCGGUAAUACGUAGGGGGCAAGCGUUAUCCGGAUUUACUGGGCGUAAAGGGAGCGGAGGCGGUAUGGGAAGUCUGAAGUGAAAGCCCAGGGCUUAACCCGGGGACUGCCUGGGAAACUGGUAGACUAGAGUGGUGGAGAGGUAAGUGGAAUUCCUGGUGUAGCGGUGAAAUGCGUAGAGAUUAGGAGGAACACCAGUGGCGAAGGCGGCUUACUGGACAGUAACUGACGUUGAGGCUCGAAAGCGUGGGGAGCAAACAGGAUUAGAUACCCGUGUAGUC
rnacentral:rRNA from 1 species